UUAUCUUCUAUCUUAUUGUUCAACCUCACCCCUUCAAGUUCUAUGUAGCGAAAGCCGAACUAAACCAAUUUGAUUACGUCAACAAUACGCUACACUACAACAUGGUGCUCAACUUCACAGCCCACAAUCCAAAUAAAAAACUUGGUAUCUACUACGAUAAAGUUGAAGCACAAGCAUCAUAUGAAGGGUCGAGGUUUGCUAAUGUAGAUGUGAUCACACACAUGAAGUCAUUUCGCCAAAACAAGAAAAGUAGUAACCCCAUGAGUGGCGUUUUCUCAGGACAGAAAUUGUUGAUGCUUGACAAUGAUCAAAUCUCUAAAUUUAACAAAGAUAAGAAUGUCGGAAUAUAUGAUAUCUAUGUGAAACUCUACUUCAGGAUUAGGUUCAAACUCGGAGACUCGAUAACUCGUACGUAUAAACCUAAGGUCAAAUGUGACCUCACUGUUCCUUUGAGAACCGGCUAUGAAACUAACUUUACCUUCAUUCGACUCAUACCCACCAAAUGCAGUGUUGAGUUCUAGGUUUUAGAUUAAAAUUUCUUGAAAUUGUAUUUGAAAUUCAAUUUUCUUUACAUUUUUUUCUUCCUGUCGGUGAUUUUAUUCAUUCUUUGUUGUUAUUUUAUUCAUUCUUUGUAUGAUACGAUCGCACACAUACCGUUCAUGCAAUGUAUUCUAGUGCUUGAGAAUGAUCUAUUUAAUUGAUCUUAAUAAUUUAAUUUAUUUGUUUCGAAUUAGAUAAUUCUCUUUGAUUUUAUUUCAUUGUUAAAUUUCUAUAGAGUGCGUUUCCAUGAGAUAAUUAGAAAAAUUUCAUUGUUAAAUUAAGUUUUAAUUUUUUUGUCAAGUUGCUUAAUGCUUAGAAUUCCACCUUUAAAGUGUAUAAAUGGAGUGUUUAAAAUUCAAACUUCGGCUCAUACAUAUAAAAUGUGACAUGAUAUCUUUACCAACUCAGUUAAACUCACGAGAAUUUCAAUCUUAAAUUUCUAUUAAGUGCGUUUCCAUGAGAUAAUUAGAAAAGUUUGGGGAAAUAUUAAAAUUUUAGCAAUUCAAAUGCUUUGAUUGAAUUCUCUAAUUUUUUGUAUUUUUAUGAUAGAGUAAUUAAAAUUCGUCAUUUGUAAACAUUAUUGGGUAAUUUUUUAAGGGGGGCUUGAGGAAGUUUAAAACAUGUAUUAGAAGAUGUGCAUCUAAGUAAUGUAGGAGUUAGUUUCUUGUGGUUGAAUUAAUAUGUCUACUAGCUAGAUGAAAUCCGACAUAUAUGAUUUUCAAAAUUGCUUUUACGUAUCCAAUCCAAUUCAACCUAUCUAUACGUGCAGGCCCAUUGGGCCGGGCCGGGGUAGUCUAUUGACAGGUCUACAUGUGAUAACAAAGAUGGAAUGUCAAGCAUAUAAUUGUGGCAACAAGUGGAAGCUUUCAAUUAAAAACAGUACCCUACUCAAGAGGGAAUUUAUUUCGUACACAUGUUUCUAUCUUCAAUCAGCUUCCUGGUUGUUUCUGAUCAGCUUGGAACUAAACUCAGUCCACAAUCUGCAUCAAACUUUGCACAAGUCAAAACUAUCUGCCAUAUUCAUAUAACUUCCUUAACCAAUAUGAAAUUGAAUCAUAAUUAUAGCAACUACUACUAUUCAACACGCUCACAUACUUACAACCGUGUUAUCCCCACAAAAUCUUCAAUCCCUUUUUUUUUCUAUAUAUACACAUUAUUACACUUUAUUCCUUUAUCUCACAUUCACUCUUUCAAUUCAAUUUGCAUUUCAUUAAUUUCACUACAUCACCUAGUCACAUUAAAACCUCAAUUUCUGUGUUCAUUUGCUCAUAACAUGGCUGAUAACAAGCAACCACAAUUAAACGGUGCCUACUAUGGCCCCGCGAUUCCACCACCAGCACAACCCCGCUAUAGCCAUCACCGAAGUAGAAGCUGUUAUUCAUGUCUCUUCGGUUUCCUUUGGAAGCUCGUUGUCGCACUCAUCGUUCUUGCUGGCCUUGCAGUCCUUAUCUUCUAUCUCGUUGUCCAACCACGCUCCUUCAAAUUCUAUGUCACGGAAGCCAAUUUAACUAAAUUUGACUAUACAAACAACACAUUACACUACGAUAUGGUGCUCAACUUCAGUGCCCGCAACCCAAACAAAAAGCUUAGUAUCUACUACGACAAAGUGGAGGCUCGGGCAUUCUACGAAGGGGAAAGGUUUGCAAAUGUCGAUGUGAUCACACAUAUGAACUCGUUUCGCCAAUAUAAGAAAAGCAGUGAUCCCAUGAGCGGUGUUUUCUCAGGACAACAGUUGUUAAUGCUAGACAAUGGUCAAGUCUCUGAGUUCAACGAAGAUAAGAAUGUUGGAGUUUAUGAUAUNNNNNNNNNNNNNNNNNNNNNNNNNNNNNNNNNNNNNAGGUGAAAUGUCACCUCAAAGUUCCAUUGACUUCGAACAAUACCACUGCAACCUUCACUCGACUUGUGCGGCCUACCAAGUGUGAUGUUGAUUUCUACUAACUACGCAUCUAUACGUUUUCUUGGCACAAUAGUAUUAAUCGGGAUUUGGUUUCUUUAUGCUUUUGUUUUUGUUUCUCUCUUCUGUACAUCAUAUUUGUUGCCAUUUUAUUCAUUCUUUGAGCACAUAAAGAUCAUACCUUUCUAUAUAUGCAAUAAACAGAUACUAGUAUUUUUUUUUUUUUUUCAAUUNNNNNNNNNNNNNNNNNNNNNNNNNNNNNNNNNNNNNNNNNNNNNNNNNNNNAGUUAUCUAGAUCUGCCUGUUAUUAAUUUAAUUUAAACCAUUAUUUUAGUCGGAACAUCCAUCUCCCAUGUUUUGCCAAAGUAGAAUAACAAGGUCACAUAAAUCCCAAUUGAACAUCUCCCAUGUUUGAUCUAUGAUAUAAAAUUUUGCAUUAACACUACAUGAAGAAACGUGUGCAUUAGUUUAAAAUUAUAUAAUCGAGAUCCAUCUUGUCAUUCACUUAUAUAAUUGCAAAAAAUUUAUAACUCAUUGGAUAAAUAAAUUGUUUCAGAAAUUAACACUAUUAAAGUAUGAGGUUCUUACAAUAUGGAGGGGUGUAACCACUUGAUGGCAGAACUUUUCCAAAAUCAGAUUAAAUUGAUGGUAAAAGCCAAAAAGAAAGUAUGAAGUUCUUAAACAACAAACCUUUAAUUAGGACAAAUGCAUUUAAUGGUUUUAAGUUUAACGUUUGAAAUAAAUAUAGUAAUUUAAGUUUUGUAUCACUUUGAUUUUUUAAUUUCGUAAUAAAUUAGAUUGUUACUCUUUUAAUGACUCUUUGCUAAAAAAAAUUAUACGCUGUGUUUUGGCCCUCCAGAUUAUAUCUUCGUUUUCUUCAUCCUUAGUUUGGCAAAUUUGACCAUUAGUUGGAUUGGAUGGAUCAUUGGUUGAUAACAUUGUUGAUGCACUUCUUGUUUAUAAAAGCCAUGAGGUGGGAUGCAGGAUCAUUAGUCCUGUCAUCAUUCAUCAAUACAUUUUUGUAACGACAAUGUAGGAUGUCAUGUCACUUAGUUAACGAUAACAUAGAGAGUAAUAAUAUAAUUCGUCCGUCCCAAAAUAAAUAAGUUAUUUUUUACUUUGUCUAUUAUUCAUAUGAUCUUUUUUUACUGUAUUUUUCUACUAAUAUGUAUAUGCAAAUAUUAGCACAUGAGAUGUUUGAUUUGUCUUGAUAAGUAUUUUUAAAAUAUAUAAUUUUUAUAAUUUAUAAUAGUAGAUAAUUUAAUAUAUUAGUGAUUAAAGUUGUGCAUUAACAAACGUGAAGGUGCUCAACAAGGUCAUUUAUUUUGGGACGUAGGAAGUAAUUUGUUACAAAUUUAAAGGAGGGAUUUGAUAGUUAAAAAGCUUAAAAGAUUAAUGUUAAACUUAAAAAAAAAAAAACUCCAAAUACAUUUGGCCAAAUAAUUAAUAACUUUCAAAUAUGUUGACAUUAUUUGUCAAAAGAAAAAAUCAUUGAGAAUAAUUAUUAUAAUAAGAUUUUAAUAGAGAUUAGAAACAUUUUCUUAAAGUGACACAUCAUCAAAAUGCUUGCCUAUGAGCAACUCAACCUUCCUUUUACUAGUAAAAGAUAACUUUCUUCUUUUUUUUCUUAAUCAUUCUGUUCUUUUGAAAAAUGGACUUUGAUAAUUUCAAAUUAGAUCGAGAGUUAAAAAAGUUUUGCCAAUUAUUGUUUUAGGUCAAAUUUGAACUCAAAUUUCUGAAACAAUUAAUCUUUAAAAUUAAAUUAUUAAACAUUUGAGUUCAAUUAUGCUCUGUUUGGUAAAAAUAAGUUAUAAGCUAACUGGUAGCUAAAAAACUAGCUUAUAGCAGAUGGCUUAUAGGUGAAAAGCUAUAGUAGAAUGAAAUUAAAGUGUUUAGCAAAUUUAACUGUUAUAAGUGCAAAAUGAUAUAAAAGUACAAGGUUAGUGGGUAGUUAUUAUAUUUUAAAAAAAUAAAGAAAUAAUAAAUGAAAAUAAUAAGGGUAAAAAUGAAAUAAAAUGUAAAAAGAUAUAAGCUAUAAGUUCAUAACGCUACUUGAAAUAGUAUCUAAAAAAAUAUUAUAAGCUAAUUAAAUAAGCUUGUUAUCAAACAUGUCCUUUUUUAACAAACAAGCUUAUAAGUUAGUCCAAUAAACUAUAAACUAACUUAUUGAAGUUACUUACCAAACACCUGUUAUAUUUAAUUAAUUUAACAUCUGGCUAUUAAUUUAUCUCUAACUAUAGCUUUUCUAAUUUCAUAGAUUAAUAAAAAUAUUUUAUUCAAAACAAAUCACUUAUUCCAUUUUCAAUACAAUAUUAAAAUUUAAUUUGUCCAAUUAUGCCCUUUAAUUAUGUCCACAUGAUGACAAGAUGAAGGACACGUUUCUUUCGGUUUUUAAAAAAUAGAUUUUUUUUUUGUAUUUUUUAAAAUAAAUUUUAUAAAAUUGUUUUUCAAAAAUAUUACAAGUAGUUUUAUAUUCGUUUUUUCUAAAUUUAAAUACUAAUUUUGACAUCAUAUAACAUAAACAUAUAUUAUUAAAGAUCAAAACAUAAUUAAAAUAUUGCAAUUUUUUCAAAAGGUUGUAUUUCAAAGAAUGUCAAAGUCUUGGAAAACUUCUGUUUGUUUCUUUCCUGGAAGUUUCGGGCCAGAUGGGAAGGAAACUCAGUCUAUAAUGCAAACUUGCCAUAUUCAUAUAGCUUCCUUAACCAAGUUGAAUCACAUCAUAUUUUUUGUUGAACAAUCAUAUUUAUUCAACACGCUCACGUGUUUUUACAACCGCGUUAAUUUAUCCCAUUAAAUCUCCAAUACCUAAUUUCCUUUCUAUAUAAACGCACCAUCUUAAUUUGUUCCUAUAUCCUCACAUUAAUUUAGUCUUCCAAUUCGAUUCCAUUUCAUUUCACUACAACUAACUACAGUCACAUUAAAACCUCAAAUAUUAAUAUUGUGUUCAUUUGCUCAUAACAUGGCCGAUAACAAACAACCACAAUUGAACGGUGCCUANNNNNNNNNNNNNNNNNNNNNNNNNNNNNNNNNNNNNNNNNNNNNNNNNNNNNNNNNNNNNGAAGUAGAAGCUGUUGUUCAUGUCUCUUCGGUUUCCUUUGGAAGCUCCUAGUCGCACUCAUCGUUCUAGCUGGCCUCGCAGUUCUUAUUUUCUAUCUCGUUGUUCAACCACGCUCCUUCAAAUUCUAUGUCACGGAAGCUAAUCUAACUAAAUUCGAAUACACAAACAACACAUUACACUACGAUAUGGUGCUCAACUUCACUGCCCGGAAUCCAAACAAAAAGCUUAGUAUCUACUACGACAAAGUGGAGGCUCGGGCAUUCUACGAAGGGGAAAGGUUUGCAAAUGUCGAUGUGAUCACACAUAUGAACUCGUUUCGCCAAUACAAGAAAAGCAGCGAUCCCAUGAGCGGUNNNNNNNNNNNNNNNNNNNNNNNNNNNNNNNNNNNNNNNNNNNNNNNNNNNNNNNNNNNNNNGUUGGAGUUUAU
rnacentral:lncRNA from 1 species